AUUGGACGCUGGCGGAAUGCUUUACACAUGCAAGUCGAACGGUAGAGGGGGCAACCCCUCGAGAGUGGCGAACGGGUGAGUAAUAUAUCGGAACGUGCCCAGUCGUGGGGGAUAACGUAGCGAAAGUUACGCUAAUACCGCAUACGAUCUAAGGAUGAAAGCGGGGGAUCGCAAGACCUCGCGCGAUUGGAGCGGCCGAUAUCAGAUUAGGUAGUUGGUGGGGUAAAGGCUCACCAAGCCAACGAUCUGUAGCUGGUCUGAGAGGACGACCAGCCACACUGGAACUGAGACACGGUCCAGACUCCUACGGGAGGCAGCAGUGGGGAAUUUUGGACAAUGGACGCAAGUCUGAUCCAGCCAUUCCGCGUGCAGGAUGAAGGCCCUCGGGUUGUAAACUGCUUUUGUACGAAACGAAAAGGUCUCUCCUAAUACGGGGGACUCAUGACGGUACCGUAAGAAUAAGCACCGGCUAACUACGUGCCAGCCGCCGCCGUAACAC
rnacentral:rRNA from 1 species